UGGUUAUCAAAGUUAAUUUGUGAAAGCAUAAUAAGAAAAAUGUCAGAUCGUGACAGAUCAAGUACCGGUUUUUUUAAAAGAAUCGUGAAAAGGAUCGUGAUAUAUCUGAUGCUCUUGGUGCUACUAAGACUUUCAAAUCAUUUUUCAAUGAUAAUGAGAAAUGAUAACUUACAUUUGUUAUUGAUAUAGACAAAACUAGAUUUACACCAAUAACCAGGGUCUCCUGUGUUGGUUAAAAGUGUUAUAAUCGUGCAAUGCCAUUGGUAUGCACAUUUUUUGUUUUUCCCUCGCCGGGAUUCGAACUCAUGCUACUGAGAUAUCGUGACACCAAAUCGCCUGCACUGUUUCCGGCGCGCUAGACCACUCGACCACCUUGGCUUCACUAAAAUAAAGCUUAUAUAUUUGUCCACCGUACUGCGCGUUGCAGGGUACAUAAAAUAUCGCACGUCCGUUCCUCUGUCUGUCCUUUCGGUUUAUUAGAUUUUUCAAUUGUGCAAUUCUUGCCAGAUUUUUAUAAAAAUUAUUUUGUACGGACACGUCCGAAAUCAGUGCCUAUCGACUUCAUUUUUAAAAAAAUAAUGCAAUUUUGGAACUAUUGAUUUUAUUUCAAAUGUGAUGUCAAUCCGUCAUUUCUCUAGUAUAUUUGUAAAAGUUAAAAAAGAAGUUGGUUAUUGCCCUUUGUUGGACAAACUACGUGCAACGCGGAGCAAAUUGAAACUUUGUUCUUUUAUUACAGCUGAUUGCAUUGAGUGUGUAGGUAAAGGUAAUAUCUUUGGUUAGCUUGCUUUCUAGCUGAACCAUGCAGUCAUUAUUAGGUUAGGUAAACUACCCUUCUUUAACAGAAGACAAGUCCGACAGAUAACCUAUCUAUCUGUAUGUAUGACUAGGCUACUUCGAAAGGAGGGUAGUAUAUCUUACCUAAUAAUGACUU
rnacentral:lncRNA from 1 species